rnacentral:rRNA from 1 species
UACGGGGGGGGCAAGCGUUGUUCGGAAUUACUGGGCGUAAAGGGUUCGUAGGUGGCCAAUUAAGUCAGAUGUGAAAUCCCUCGGCUUAACCGGGGAACUGCAUCUGAUACUGGAUGGCUUGAGAUUGGGAGAGGGAUGCGGAAUUCCAGGUGUAGCGGUGAAAUGCGUAGAUAUCUGGAGGAACACCGGUGGCGAAGGCGGCAUCCUGGACCAACACUGACGCUGAGGAGCGAAAGCCAGGGGAGCAAGCGGG